rnacentral:lncRNA from 1 species
UAUUUUGCCUUGGUCCCUUCUUGGAUACUGUGUACCUCAACUCAAGAAAAUCAUCUAAGUUAAGGGUGACUAUCAUAGGGGUGCAUAGUUGAAGAUGGGUAUGGAGAAAAGUAUUGAAUAAAAGAAAAGAAAGUAGGGUUGGGUGUUGUAAAAAAUAAGAAAGAGAAAAAUAAAAGAAAAAGGAAAAACAUAAAUGCAAAGAAUGAAGGAAACCACACCCAGUCUGAAUAGUAAUAAAAAAGAAAAAGGAAGAAUAAAAGAAACAUGGUUAGUAGUGGAGUAAAUAUUGCAAGUGUAGUGUUAAGGAGGGUGAGUCACUAUUUCCCAUAUGUACCAUACUUUCUCCAAGCCUACGUUAUAAGCCGAGAAAAGUCCUAUAGUGAUUCCUGUCCAACUAUUCAAAAAACUUAAGGUAUAGAAAAUAAGGGCAAACCUAUGGUAUUUUAUGCAUAUUGUUUGAUCUUAUUUGAGGGAGUGAGUGAUUUGAUUUAGUCCCUACAUUGACAUACAUUAUGAUACUCUGAGGGUUGGGACUUCCUGGCUCUGGGGGUACAUGGGUUGUAUUGUUAAGUACUUAUCUUGUUUGGGUAGUGUCAAUUACAUACAUUCUUGGUUGUCUGAUGCUAAUCUAGUGCCAUCACUUGAUUUCAUUUGUGUUAUAUUGUUGUGCUACAUUAAUCUACACAGUGGUUUUGAAAGUUGUGAAUAGGACGGGGUAAGAAAGUUGAGCUAAAAUGCGUUGACUAUCAUAGGCACCUUAGAUUUAUUUUAGUUAAGCAUCAUAUUUAUUUAGUUUAUGUUAGUUUCUUGAGGACAUGCAAUGUUCCAAGUUAAGUGUCUUGAUGUGCCAUGGUUUCAUGAUACUUUCGAUGCUUAAAAUAAGGAAAUUAUGCAUGAACUUAGGUAUUUUUAAUAGAUAUGAUGUGUUUUUGUGUUGGUUAUUGCAGGAAAAUAGGAUUUUGAGCAAAGAAUGAGAAAAAGGGAUAAAGAGUUGCUGAAAAGGCUACCCACGAGUUUUCCAUGACUCAUGGGUAGUAACUACGAGUUGUGAGUUAUCACGUGGGUUAAGUUCUAAAGAUAGAUGAUUGAGUUUGAUUUUCACUAGCUUACCUAUGAGUCAUAGGUAGAACACACAACCUGUAGGUUGCCUCGUAGGUUGAAGAUUCUACAAAGUUGAAUAUGGACUUUGAUUUCCAUGAUUCCUAUGCCUGAUUCAUGGGUUGAACCUAUGACAACCCAGAAAUCAUGAGUUAAUGCCGACUCUAGUUUCCUAUACUAUGUAAGAUAGUUUUAUUUUGUAUCUAUAAAUAUUCUUAUUGGGUUUUAUAAUUUUACUCUUUUACAAUAGUUUAUGCACUAUAUACACUUUUGACAUUAUUUUGAGUUCUG